rnacentral:lncRNA from 1 species
CGGCCUCGGGACCCACGGGGAAGGAAGGGGGAAGGGAGCGAGGCUGGAGAGGCUGCGGCGCGUGGCCUGAGGCGGAGAGCCGGGCUGCGGGGGUCCGGGCCAGGCCAGGCGCCGGCCUGACCCGCCUCGCCGGCAAGAGCAGGCCGGGCUUCCUCCUCCCUUGGCGGGCGGGGGAGGGAAAGGGGGAUCCUGGCCGGGGGUAAGGGGGAAAGGUGGUCCUGAUUCUCCCUGUGCCACCGCCACAAAGCUGAUCCUGGCCUCCUGCGGAGAAGCCUGAGCGCCUUCCCGCAGACCUGACGCGACCCCCUCCCAGGUACCUGGGCCUCGGCCUGGUCUAGCGAGUCCCCUUCCUCCCAAGGAGCAGCCGGCGGAGCUCGGGUGGAGGAAAGCGAGGAGGCGACCAGGAGGAUGCCGCCGCCGCCGCCGCAGGGCCCGGGGCUUCUGCAGGGCGCAAGGCCUCCCUCACCAGGGUAAGGGGCUGGCGAUCAACCUGGACGCCUGGGACCUUGGGAGCAAGCAUCCCGCAGCCGAGCAGGCGACGGCGCGGCCACCGCCUAGAGAGGAGCCGGGGCCCGGGGCGGCGUGCGGGUCGGCAGCAGCCGGCUUGGCCUAUCCGAAACCCCAGGCCUGGAAGCGGCUGCUUUAGGCGUCAAGUUGAGCGGGGUAUGUGUGUCCUCUUGGGAAAAAGGCAGAAGAAAGAAGCGGAGCCGAGCCGAGCCGCCGAGUCCCUCCCCCCGGAGCCCCGGAGCCCCGGCGCCUGCCUGGGCGGUCCCGGCCGCGCAGACAGAAAAGAAGCCGGGAAUCUGCGGGGCUGGGGGGCGGGGAGCGACACCAAAGGCCAGAAACUGCAGCACGGCCCGAGGCCCUGGCGAGCUGGGCCUGGGGGAGGAGAAGUCCCUUCCCAUUCCAGCUCGAUCAAUCUUGCUGGGCUGCGAUCGGUCAAUAAAAACGGUGUGAAGCGGC